rnacentral:sRNA from 1 species
AAGAUAAUUUACUUCCUAGUUCAAACUUCCAGCAGUACAACAGGGGAUAGCAGCAGGCAGAGUAUGAAACCGGGUCAUCCACAAGUACCUCAGGAUCAGGCAUCCACCCAUCAGAAAAACAACAAUGGACAUAGAUAUUUAGAACAAGAACUGAAAACAACAAUUGAGAAUAAGAAGGAUUGAGAGCAUAAAGAAUCGAGAGCAUUGUUUGAAACUAAUGAAGAGUAUGUGUCUCAAAAUAAAUUGGUGUGGUGAAAAAGAGGUUAAGGAAACAAAAAACA